AGCUCUUCUCCUACACUCUCCAUUGACGAACUCCAAGCCCCUAUUUCACCAUAACUCUUUGGGUAAGUGAUUCCAACUUCAUUCUACCAUUAUUUUUUCAUCUAAUCAUCAAUUUUCUAGCCCUAAAUCAUAGAAUCAUGGUAGAACUUAGGGCUUUUGGGUAGAGUUAGGUUUUGAGAAUUUUGGGCGAUUCAACCUCAAUUUGGGGUCGAAUCUUAAGACAAAUCGUCCAUUAUUUCUUCAUCUAAUCAUCAAUUUUCUAGCCCUAAAUCAUAGAAUCAUGGUAGAAAUUAUUCUUGUUUCCUUCAUCUAAACAUCAAUUUUCUAAUCCUAAAACAUGAAAUCAUGGUAGAAACUAGGGCUUUUGGGUAGAGUUAGGUCUUUGAGAAUUUUGGGCGAUUCAACCUCAAUUUGGGGUCGAAU
rnacentral:lncRNA from 1 species